CUUUGAUUUUUUUCGAUUUCAUCAACUAUCUUACAUAUUCAGAUGAGAUUCAUAAGGACGACAAUGUUUUGAUGCUUUCUUCAUCUUCAUGUAAAUGCUAUUUGUUUCAUGUUUCCAGAUUUGAAGAGAUCGAUUUGUUUGCUGUUUAAUAAUGAUUUACGAUGUGUUUUGUCAUAUCUAGGGUUUGCUUGUGGUCUUUCGUAUCCGUCAAAACCCUAAUCGACCGGAGAAAUCGUCAAAAGUUCUUCACAAUAUGAUCGUUCCACAUAAUUUGCAGAUAUGCAUCCCUUGCACAACAGUCCUUCAUUUUUAAAGCUUAUUGAUGAAGAUGACCCGAUAUUUUUGGU